CCUACGGGAGGCAGCAGUGGGGAAUAUUGGACAAUGGGGGGAACCCUGAUCCAGCCAUGCCGCGUGUGUGAAGAAGGCCCUCGGGUUGUAAAGCACUUUCAGUGAGGAAGAACACCUGGUGGUUAAUACCCAUCAGGAAAGACAUCACUCACAGAAGAAGCACCGGCUAACUCCGUGCCAGCAGCCGCGGUAAUACGGAGGGUGCGAGCGUUAAUCGGAAUUACUGGGCGUAAAGCGCGCGUAGGUGGCUUGAUAAGCCGGUUGUGAAAGCCCCGGGCUCAACCUGGGAACGGCAUCCGGAACUGUCAAGCUAGAGUGCAGGAGAGGAAGGUAGAAUUCCCGGUGUAGCGGUGAAAUGCGUAGAGAUCGGGAGGAAUACCAGUGGCGAAGGCGGCCUUCUGGACUGACACUGACACUGAGGUGCGAAAGCGUGGGUAGCAAACAGGAUUAGAUACCCUAGUAGUC
rnacentral:rRNA from 1 species